AGCGUAGGCGGCGUGGUAAGUCAGAUGUGAAAUCCCGGGGCUCAACCCCGGAACUGCAUCCGAUACUGCCGUGCUAGAGGAUUGGAGAGGUAGCUGGAAUUCACGGUGUAGCAGUGAAAUGCGUAGAUAUCGUGAGGAACACUCGUGGCGAAAGCGAGCACUGGACAACUCCUGACGCUGAGGCUCCAAGGGCCAGGGUAAGGCAAAGG
rnacentral:rRNA from 1 species